rnacentral:siRNA from 1 species
AGAAGCGGUGAUUUGGUCUAGAAU